CUCCUGCAACCCCUGUGUCAUUUUCCACAGAGUAACUGAGGACACCUUGACCUUUCAAGUGUACACUUGGCAUUCUGAGCAAGUAGUGGAAGGAUUUCAUUUAAUGGGCACCCAUACUAAAUUGGUAUGUGAAAGCAAGACACAGGGCUAACUCACGACAGUAUGUGCAUCACUUCCCCAUCACUCAGCACCUGAUGACUCACAACUUAAUGUGUGUCCCAACUCCAUUGGAAAGCACUGUGUCACAGAGGGGGUAUGAAAAUCCUGCUUUGAUGUUUCAUCUAUGAUGGCUCAAUGGCAUAUAUACAAUCUGUAUUAUGGUAACAAAUUGAGGCUAUGAAGAAAGAUCACAGACCCAUUUCGGCUCUGCAGAUGUGUCAACAGGUGGGAAGAAAAGACUGUAUCUCUUGAAUUCUUUGCAGUCCCUUCUCAACUAUUGUGAACAGCAGGUGAGCAUAACUCAAUGGCUUGUGUAGCGCACACACUCACCAAACAAAGCAACAAUAUGAAAAAUUUCAAAGUGAAGUGAACAUAG